rnacentral:rRNA from 1 species
UGGGGAAUAUUGCACAAUGGGCGCAAGCCUGAUGCAGCCAUGCCGCGUGUGUGAAGAAGGCCUUCGGGUUGUAAAGCACUUUCAGCGGGGAGGAAGGCGAUAAGGUUAAUAACCUUGUCGAUUGACGUUACCCGCAGAAGAAGCACCGGCUAACUCCGUGCCAGCAGCCGCGGUAAUACGGAGGGUGCAAGCGUUAAUCGGAAUUACUGGGCGUAAAGCGCACGCAGGCGGUCUGUCAAGUCGGAUGUGAAAUCCCCGGGCUCAACCUGGGAACUGCAUUCGAAACUGGCAGGCUAGAGUCUUGUAGAGGGGGGUAGAAUUCCAUGUGUAGCGGUGAAAUGCGUAGAGAUCUGGAGGAAUACCGGUGGCGAAGGCGGCCCCCUGGACAAAGACUGACGCUCAGGUGCGAAAGCGUGGGGAGCAAACAGG